CGAACGGCAGCACAGGGAGCUUGCUCCCGGGUGGCGAGUGGCGCACGGGUGAGUAAUACAUCGGAACGUGUCCUGUUGUGGGGGAUAACUGCUCGAAAGGGUGGCUAAUACCGCAUGAGACCUGAGGGUGAAAGCGGGGGAUCGCAAGACCUCGCGCAAUUGGAGCGGCCGAUGCCCGAUUAGCUAGUUGGUGAGGUAAAGGCUCACCAAGGCGACGAUCGGUAGCUGGUCUGAGAGGACGACCAGCCACACUGGGACUGAGACACGGCCCAGACUCCUACGGGAGGCAGCAGUGGGGAAUUUUGGACAAUGGGGGCAACCCUGAUCCAGCCAUGCCGCGUGCAGGAUGAAGGCCUUCGGGUUGUAAACUGCUUUUGUCAGGGACGAAAAGGACCGUGUUAAUACCAUGGUCUGCUGACGGUACCUGAAGAAUAAGCACCGGCUAACUACGUGCCAGCAGCCGCGGUAAUACGUAGGGUGCAAGCGUUAAUCGGAAUUACUGGGCGUAAAGCGUGCGCAGGCGGUUCUGUAAGACAGAUGUGAAAUCCCCGGGCUCAACCUGGGAAUUGCAUUU
rnacentral:rRNA from 1 species